CGCUGGCGGCGUGCCUAAUACAUGCAAGUCGAACGGUCUUUCUAUGGAAGCUUGCUUCCACUGAGAAGAUAGUGGCGAACGGGUGAGUAACACGUGGGUAACCUGCCCAUAAGAGGGGGAUAACAUCCGGAAACGGGUGCUAAUACCGCAUAGUUUUCUUGAUCGCAUGAUUGAGAAAGGAAAGACGGCCUUUGUGCUGUCGCUUAUGGAUGGACCCGCGGCGUAUUAGUUAGUUGGUGAGGUAAUGGCUCACCAAGACGAUGAUACGUAGCCGACCUGAGAGGGUGAUCGGCCACAUUGGGACUGAGACACGGCCCAAACUCCUACGGGAGGCAGCAGUAGGGAAUCUUCCGCAAUGGACGAAAGUCUGACGGAGCAACGCCGCGUGAGUGAAAGAAGGUUUUCGGAUCGUAAAACUCUGUUGUCAGAGAAGAACAAGUUGGAGAGUAACUGCUCCAGCCUUGACGGUAUCUGACCAGAAAGCCACGGCUAACUACGUGCCAGCCGCGGC
rnacentral:rRNA from 1 species